AAUCAACGCUGGCGGCGUGCCUAACACAUGCAAGUCGAGCGCGAAAGGGGGGCAACUCCCGAGUAGAGCAGCGAACGGGUGAGUAACACGUGGGUGACCUGCCCUUAGCUCUGGGAUAAGCCUGGGAAACUGGGUCUAAUACCGGAUAUGACUCCAUGACGCAUGUUGUGGGGUGGAAAGCCUUGUGCGGCUGGGGAUGGGCCCGCGGCCUAUCAGCUUGUUGGUGGGGUGAUGGCCUACCAAGGCGA
rnacentral:rRNA from 1 species